AACGAACGCUGGCGGCAUGCCUAACACAUGCAAGUCGAACGAGACCUUCGGGUCUAGUGGCGCACGGGUGCGUACCGCGUGGGAACCUGCCCUUAGGUUCGGAAUAACUCCCCGAAAGGGGUGCUCAUACCGGAUAAUGUCUUCGGACCAAAGAUUUCUCGCCUUUGGAUGGGCCCGCGUUGGAUUAGCUAGUUGGUAGGGUAAAAGCCUACCAAGGCGACGAUCCAUAGCUGGUCUGAGAGGAUGAUCAGCCGCACUGGGACUGAGACACGGCCCAGACUCCUACGGGAGGCAGGAGUGGGGAAUAUUGGACAAGGGGCGAAAGCCUGAUCCAGCAAUGCCGCGGGAGUGAUGAAGGCCUUAGGGUUGUAAAGCUCUUUUACCCGGGAUGAUAAUGACGGAACCGGGAGAAUAAGCCCCGGCUAACUCCGG
rnacentral:rRNA from 1 species